CUUUCACAGACCGUGGCGCAGCAAGAUUUCUACAUUCAGACAUCCACCUGCAAUGAAGUAAAUAAACCUUGGGUGACUGAUGUGGAUGUGACUUCAGCAGCAUGGAUCAGAGUGAGGACAGAGAGGAGGGAGUCCCUCCCUCUAAAAGCUCUCUGUGUGAGGAACAUGACAGCCAGACCAAAGCUCAGAGAACAACAAGG